AGUUCACAUGCGCUUCCCGAGCAUUAUAGGAGAUUGAUCACAGACCCAAACUCGCCUACUAUUGAUUUUUAUCCCACUAAUUUUGAAGUGGACAUGAAUGGCAAGAGGUUUUCUUGGCAGGGCUUGCCAAAUUGCCUUUCAUUGAUGAAGCUCGGCUCCUUGCAGAGGUUGCAAAGGUUGAACAUACAUUGACGAUAAGGUUAUCUAUCCUUAUUACCCAAUUGAGCUCAAAGAGAUUAGUAUUUUAAUCGAUCAUGUAAUCAAAUUUUAAUU